GGCGGUGUAGCUCAGCUAGUUAGAGCGUGCGGUUCAUUCCCGCGAGGUCGGGGGUUCGAAUCCCUCCACCGCUACCA
rnacentral:tRNA from 1 species